rnacentral:rRNA from 1 species
AUUCACAGCCAUAUCACCCUGCAGCCCAAGACCGGUUACUCACUGAAGCUAAGCAGGGCUGAGCCUGGUCAGUACCUGGAUGGGAGACCACAUGGGAAAACUAGGUUGCUGUUGGAA